rnacentral:rRNA from 1 species
GUAGCAUAAUCAUUAGUUUUUUAAUUGAAAGCUGGAAUGAAAGGUUAAAUGAGAAAUAAGCUGUCUUUAUGUAAUUUGUUUAAAAAUUUAUUUUUAAGUUAAAAAGCUUAAUUAAAAUUAAAAGACGAGAAGACCCUAUAGAGUUUAAUUUUAUAAAUUAAUUAAUUUUUGGAAUUAAAAAUUAUAUAAUAAAUUAAAAUUUUAUUGGGGUGAUAGAAAAAUUUAAUAAACUUUUUUUAAAAAUUGUACACAGAUUAGUGUUUUAAUGAUCCAUAAAAAUGAUUAAAAGAUUAAAUUACCUUAGGGAUAACAGCGUUAUAUUUUUUGAAAGUUCAUAUUUUAAAAAAAGUUUGCGACCUCSAUGUUGGAUUAAAAUUUAAUUAUGGUGAAGAAGCUAUAAAAUUAGGUCUGUUCGACCUUUAAAAUUUUACA